rnacentral:rRNA from 1 species
GACGAACGCUGGCGGCGUGCUUAACACAUGCAAGUCGAACGGAAAGGCCUGCUUUCCCUUGUGGAUUGCGGGUACUCGAGUGGCGAACGGGUGAGUAACACGUGAGUGAUCUGCCCCCAACUUGGGUAUAAGCCUGGGAAACUGGGUCUAAUUCCCGAUAGGACUGCAGGGUGGUGCCUGUGGUGGAAAACGAUUUUCUAGUGGUUGGGGAUGAGCUCGCGGCCUAUCAGCUUGUUGGUGGGGUAAUGGCCUACCAAGGCGGCGACGGGUAGCCGGCCUGAGAGGGUGGACGGCCACAUUGGGACUGAGAUACGGCCCAGACUCCUACGGGAGGCAGCAGUGGGGAAUAUUGCACAAUGGGCGGAAGCCUGAUGCAGCGACGCCGCGGGGGGGAUGACGGCCUUCGGGUUGUAAACUCCUUUCGACCGCGAGGAAGCCACCUGGUUGGAAGGGUGGUGACGGUAGUGGUAGAAGAAGCGCCGGCUAACUACGUG